ACUCGGUCCUGUUAUUUUGUUCUCUUUUAGAGUUUCUUUGCAAGGAAUGCCCAAGAGUUCAUAUUUUCAUUGAUCGAAUUGAACUGAAGGACAUUCCAGAAGAGCAGAUGUAUAUGAGAAGGUGGCUUCAUGAACGUUUUGAAAUAAAGGAUAAGUUGCUAAUAGAGUUUUAUGAUGCAAAGGAUUCUAAAAGAAGAAACAAGUUCCCUGGAAAAAGUGUUCAUUCCAAAUUAAGCCUCAAGAAAACUUUGCCAUCUUUGCUGUUUCUAGGUGGCCUGACUGCUAGUAUGCUUCUGACAGAAUCUGGAAGGAAACUUUAUGUAAAAACGUGGAUAUAUGGGACUUUAAUUGGCUGCCUGUGGGUUAGCAUUAAACCAUAAGCAGAUGUUAGUCUCCGGUCAGUGGGAUGUGCUGUCUUUUCUUGCACAUUGCACCAAACUUUUUCCCAAAUUUAUAGUAAAAACGUGUAAAUAAAGCCUUAUCGACUGAACAUUGGAAAUAAUAGAAUUUGUGACCUAAGCCUCUGUGUGGUUGGUCUGGGGAAAAUAAAUGUAGUUUUUCAAAUUUGCUACUCAUUUUUGCUGGAAUAACGGCAGAUAAACUGGGUCGUAUGAUAAAUGGCUUUCCCCAUGAACUAACACCCAUCUCUAUCUGCAGAUGAAGUAUGAGUUAUGCGUAAGGGUGUCUUAAGUGGACCUGUGAAUGUAUUUACAGAGAUUAAUUUAGGUUAUAUAUUUAUUCUUCUGAUAUUCAUGUUGAAUUUUUGUUACUCCUCGGUGCAUUGCAGCAGCUCAGUUGCAUCUGCCCCAGCUGUAUCGCAAGUAAAAUCAAAACCUUUUUUUCUCUGGAAUUUUGUUUUUCAGUUUUAUCUAAAUACUGUGUUCUCAGAAAGGGCCUGGAAAGCUGGCAAAUCGUGAGACGCUCCCUAAAGCAGAAUAAAACGUUCAUGGGGAAGGAGCUCUGUUUAUCUAGUGCAUGAUUUUUGAUUCUAUUGCAGUAUUAGCCGAUUAUUUUACAUAUGCAAAACAUUAAACCUUACAGAGCAAACAGCUUACUUUGCGCACCCUGUAUCUGUGCAUAAGAGGAAUGUGUGCAGCAUAAUGACAUGGGUUUUUAUUUUGUGGCCUAGCCGGGCUGCAGCCUUCCUUGUGUCUGCGUUGCCCACAGCGCGCCGGGCCUUCCAGCUGGGCUCACAGAACCGCCAUGUCCACGUGCCAUAAGCAGCAGUGAGCGCUCACAACUCCCUGUUACCUCACCGGCGUCGGGUGUGAGCUGUGCCCUCUGGGUAACACGCAGACCCACGGCAGCUUCAGGAGCGUGGCUUAUGGUAGCAAGCAACCUUCAGGUGUCCCUGUGAAACACGAAGCACGUGCCUUUUCCCGCUAGUCUGACUUAGCCUGAUGUCUCAUAAGCUGGCACCCAUCUCAGUGUCGUAGUAUCACAUUAGAUUUCCAAGGCAUCCCAGGCGAUGCAGAUUUCAGGGGGACUGAAGUUAUGGGGUUGAUGAAUACGACUUGCAUAGCAGACUAGGAGUGAAAGAAAUGUGCAUCCUUUCACCUGCCUGAAAAUGUACUUCUAAAAGCAGAAUCACCAAACGCUCACUACCAGAAAGCCUGUGAUUGCCACGGCUGGGAUUUUUGAUGGGGAAAUGCCAUUUCCUGAUAUCAAGGGAAUUGUCCAUAUGUACAGCAACGGGGUAGGAAAGAGGAUGUAUUUUAGCUUCUUCCACUAAGGAAUCAGACUCCCUGUGUGAAAAUGGUGAAAGAACUAGAGAAUAUUUUUGUAUCACACUUGCAAGCUUUAAAUGUGCACCUCUUUUUCGCUUUGGUAUGAUUUGUAUUGCAUUAAAACCCACCGUGAAUUAAAAUAUCUCUCUUAAGAUUAUAACUCCAUUUUUCAGAUUCCACUGUUGCCAGUUAAUUGGAGAUACUGCUUCUACUCUGGAUUUUGUUUCUUGUUGGCUUUUUUUUUGUUUGAUAGAAUGAUGACAGUUCCACCUUAAAAUCAUUCGGUACAGCUUUCAGGUUGCAGCUCUGUGUCCUCUCAUAAUGGAUUUUGUCACUGGAGUUAUUUAUAUCAGUGAUUGAUUCAGGAUAUGUUGAUGAACCAUGUUAAAAACAAUGACUGGGAACAACGUUGAAAAACAGUAUUGUUAUGAGGCUGUGAAACCAGAAGAAAAAAAAAGCCAUUUUAUGUAACAGCCAAAUGUGCUCACAUGUAGCUCUUCCUAUGCUCUGCUGACCAUUGCCAGUGAGUGUAACCUGAAGGCAGUGUUAUCGAGUUAGUUUGAUUCUGAAUCAUGGAAUGAAAUUCUACUUUGUCAUGAUUAAAUUUCUUUGUAGCAGCUAAGAAUAACAUUUAAUUACACAUCAGAAGUAUACGCAGACAGCUUAACUCAUUUGUAGAAAAAUAAAUGCUGUUCUGGAGAGCCUAAUUACCACAAGAUACUGGACUUCUCUUACUGUUUACUUGUCAGGAAUAUAAUUGACACAGUGCAACAAGCAGGAUGUUUAUUUUGAAUGUUACUUUCUGUGUUACUCUUAGUUGUUUUUUUUUUCCUUGCAAUUAAUUUAUAAAGUUUUGAAACUGUAAUUUGCUGAUGUAUUUGGCACUGGGAGUAUCACAUGCUAUUUCUAAAUAUGCACUGAUAUUAACUUGAAAUAUUUCUUCAUUAAAAUAAGAAGAGCUGAUGCUCAUUCAACUUUUC